AGAAGAAGAUAAAUCAAUCAAUCAAUCUGGGGCUGGGGUCGGCCAGGCUGACAGAGAGCUUACACAAAGCCCUGGGUUCCAGGCUCAGAAACAUUUGUACUGCACCUGUAUCGCACUAGCACUUGGGAUGUAGAGGGAUCAGCAAGAUGAGCUGGAACCACCAAUCACAGAAGAGCCUGGUGCAAGCCUCAAAACAUGCUGGACUCAUCUCUGUGGACGCCUCGUCUGGCGGUCAGUUUUCUGCACAGAUCUGCACAGGAGUACAUGGGUGCUUAGGUUUCUUCAGCGGGUAUCCCAAGACUCUGCCACCCCCACCAUCCUGAAAUAGCUGGCCUGACAGAAAGAUGGGGUAGCCUUUUGAAGACACAGUCACAGCACUAAUUAGGGGACAACAGCAUGGGGGGCUGGGGCGGGGUCCUCCAGAUGGCGGUAUGUGCUUUGAAUCGGUGUCCAAUAUAGGGUACUGUUUCUCCCAGAGCUAGGAUCCACGGGUCCAGGAAUCAAAGGGUAGAAGGACGAACCAUUCCACUUUCAAUCAUCCUAGUGGUCCAUGAGGAAAGCUUUGCCUCCUGUUUCCACAACCCUAAAAUCUGCUGGCCUAGAUAUUCUGGUUCCAGAGGGGGUGUGCCCCUUCCAGGAGCCACAACAAGCAUCCCAUUGAACUGGAAGCUCAGACCUUCCCCUGGUCACUUUGGGUUUCUUAAACCAACAGGCCAUGAAAGGAAUAGCAAUAAUUAGGAAAGGGGAUAGGUCCGGAUUACCAAGGGGAAACUGGAUUGCUUCUCCACAAUGGGGGUAAGAAGGAUUAUGUCUAGAGUGAGGAGAUCCUUUUAGGUGUCUCUUGGUGCUACUGCACCCUGUGAUUGAAGCUAAUGGGAUCUACAAGAAUCUAAUCCCAGCAGGCUGUCAAAGGGCACAGACCCAUGAGGAAUGAAGGUAUGGGUCACUCUUCUAGGAAAAGAGCCAAGACCUGCUGAGGUGCUUGCAGGGGUGAGGGGGAGAAAAACAGAAUGGGCAGUGGAGGAAGGUGAUUCUAAAUUCCAUAUGAGGCCACUUCCUCUUGCCUGGAAGUCAAGAUGUAGAACACUGGACGACUUCUCUAGCACCAUGUCUGCCUGAACGCCACCAUGCUGUACCAUGAUGAUAAUGGUGCAAGCCACAAUGACCUGAAAAUGCAAGCCACCCCAAUGAAAUGUUUGUCCUUUAUAAGAGUUGCCACAGUCAUCAUGUCGCUUCACAGCAAUAGAAACCCUGACUAAGAUAGCUUCCAUGGCCAAUGCAGGGGUUCUCCACGUA